rnacentral:tRNA from 1 species
GCGGGUGUAGUUCAGUGGUAGAACGUCUCGUUGCCAACGAGAAGGUCGUGGGUUCAAGUCCCAUCGCCCGCUC